AUUCAUAUAGAAUACUCAUCUCAGUGACAUGAGAUCCCUGAGAAGAGAGAACAAAAUUGCAAAUAUGAAAUAUUCCAGGCACAAAACAUUUCAGACAAGUGCCUAGUGUUCAUAUUUUGUUUCUCUCUUGAAAAUUUUCUCUUGUGAAUUUUAAUUCUUCUGCUAUAUCAAGAAGAAAGCAUAAUUAAGAGUGGCAUGCAGGAGUGACAGGACCGACAUUCCGGGGAGAAGAUGGGCAAAAGAGAAUACAAGAGAUGAUGAACAGGGGACCCAGAAGGCAGCAGCGACUCCAGGAACAGCCACAGGUGCAAAAGCAACUGGCUUCUGAUUUGAAAUUGAAUUUGACAAAACACUCUUUGAGACUGAUACAAGAACGGGGCUACAGAUAACAACGACACCUAUUGCAAAGCUUUUUGUUAAAAUUCAAAAAACUACAGGCAAAAUG
rnacentral:lncRNA from 1 species